ACGUUGAAACGCCGGUUCCCGUACGAGCUCCGCAGUUAAGCAACAUCAAAUUAUAUCAGUACCUAGAUGAGUAACCACUUGGGAAACCCAGGUGCUGUAA